rnacentral:tRNA from 1 species
GUUGGGGUGGCAGAGCCAGGUAUUAUUGCAAAAGGCCUAAGCCCUUUACACCAGAUGUUCAAAUCAUCUCCCCAACC